rnacentral:misc_RNA from 1 species
AACUCUCACCCUUCAACUUUCUUAAUAGUGGUUGAAGGCGUGGACUUGAGCGCUGCUGGUUUUAAUUAACCGGCUCGCUUGAAAUGAAUUAGCAGAUCCUUUUUGUAAUCGGUUCCACUCGACGUGAUAAGUAUUUCGCCGAGGACAUCUUAACGGAUGGCCGAGAUAAAGAAAGUCUUUAGAUCCGCUUCUAAUUCUUAGCCUUACGCAAGUAAGCUAAACCCAUUUUAUG